AGGUUAUGCUGGGAAGGGAAAGCGAGGUCGGGGCGGACCCGAGAUAGCUAAAGGGUCACGCCCCUUUCCUAGGUUCCACCUCGAGGAGGUUCCCAAAGUCACCCCAAUGACCAGACACACAAGGCAGUACAAGUGCGGUGCAGGCUGCUGACUGGGACACAGAAGAUCAGUAAUUUAUAACUGCUGGUUUCUCUCACCUCUCCCGACUUGGGACAACGUACAGUAAGUACGGUACAGGAAAAAGUUUUCCUCGUUCUCUUCCUCUCUCUAUCCACAGGCUGCUGACUGGGAAACAGAAAUCAGUUAUUUAUAACUGCUGGUUUCGCUCACCUCUCCCCACUUGGGAUGACGUACAGCAAGUACGGUGCAGGAAAAGGUUUCCUCGUGCUCUUUCCCUCUCUCCAUAGGCUGCGGACUGGGACACAAAGAUCAGUUAUUCGGACUGCUGAUUUCUCUCACCUUUCCAGCUUGAGACGACGUACAGUAAGUACGGUGCAGGUAAGGUUUUCUCGUUCUCUUUCUCUCGCUUUCUCUCCACAGGCUGCGGGAGCAUAGGCCAGGUAAUA